CAUGGUAUAAUGUAAGAUAAAGGUAACAGUUUGGCUAUUUUUUGGCCUAAUUGAAUUUAUGAACAUUAUGAAAAUUACCUUGACAUCAUAACAGGGAGGCCAGCUGUGACGAGCUCAGUUAAUGAUGCAUAGCAUACAAUAGGGCUAUUUGCUAGGCCAAUGUGAUGGUAACUGACAUAAUGCAAUGCCACCCAUGUCAACCUUUUAAAAGCCUAUCUGAAAAUAUCUGACCCAUGUUAUUGUGUAGCCUAUAAUUGUGUCUCUUCCAGGCUUCAAUCUGUGUUUUUUAGUAGUUGCUUUAGGCCUAUUUUAAGCUGCUCCAUGAGAAAAUUAUUACUUAGAUACUUAAUUUCCCUUCACUAUCCAGAAGAAGGCUAUGCGUUAACCUGGUCUGACAUCUUUAACACAGAAGUACUUAGGCCUAUUUAUUAGCUCACUCCGCCUCCUAUUGGUUAGACAAA